GUGUAUUUCCCAAGCACACACCCCGAAAGCCUUCUGCAUGCAAUUCUCCAUCUCAGAUUUGUGUCCAAGGAACCCAAGCCGAGCCAGUGUGGUGCGCCUGGACUUCACAGAUUGCCCUCAUCAGAUGAGCUCAGCUCCUGGCCUUCCUGUCUGGAGCCUGAGUGCACCUCCAGGUGAGGAAGUGACUCCUUUUCACCUUCAGGAUGAAAAUGAAACUCACCAGAAAAAAGCAACAUACCUGAUCUAGCAGCAGAUUUCUUCUGGAGCUGUGCUGUUCAAUACACACUAGAUCUGAUGUUAAGCAUUCUCAUCACACACAAAAAAGAAUAACAGAGUGCAGGAGGAAACUAUUAGAGAUGAUUGAUAUGUCUGUGGCAUAGACUGUGGUGAUGAGUUCACAGCUAUACACUUAUCUCCAAACUUAUCAAGCUGUAUACAUCAAUUAUGCACAGCUUUUUGUAUGUCAAUCAUACCUUAAUAAAGUGGUUUAAAAACACAGUAGCCACUAGCCACAUGUGGCUACUUAAAUUUUAAAAAUGAAACAAAAUUAAAAUUUCUGUUCCUCACCUGCUCGACAGCCACACAUAGUGAGUGGCUAACUUUUUGAAUAGCGCCGAUAUAAAACUUUUCCAUCACCACAAAUGGUUCUGGACACAACUGAUCAACAGUUUUAGCUUUUUCCAGUUCCUGUAUCUGCUCUCUUCUAUACCUCCUAGCCUCAACGUAGAAUGCCCUUCUCCUUUUCUUUGUCUGAUUCCCACAUACCCUGCAGAUCAACUUUCACCUACUCUGGAGAAGUGUCUCCUAACCACUCAUGUCUCCAGCCUGGAUUGCAUGCCCUUCUGUGGCCCAUUGGAGCCCUGGGCAUAGAAUGCCCACUACAGUCAACUGCAGAUGUCGGUUCACUGGUCCUUGUCCUCUAGCAGCUCGCCGAAGGAAGAGUAUGUCUUCAACUUCUGAUUCCCCAGGACCCAGCUUUGUUUCUGAAAAAUGGACAAAGCUUAGUUGCUGUGACGGCUCUCCUUCUGACUAAAUGCUUUCCAGGGAUCUAUAGAUCUGAAUGUGUUCUCCUCCAAGGCAGAAACGAGGAAGGACCUUCUUUUGGGGCUGUAGAGAGAAGAGGUGAUUACAAACCCGCCCAGGCCAACCCAGAAACAAACCAACCAAAUUAAUGGGUCAGUGGACCACUGUUGGUGGAUUCCCUAGAAAACCGUCUGAGGUGCCUCAACACUAUCUCCGGCUCCACAUAUGCUUCUUACAAUGUGACACGGACACUCGUCCCAUUGAAAGGUGGGGGUCCGUGUCCCCUCUCCUCUGCCCUUGAACUGGACAAGAUUUAUGGCUAUUUCAACCAAUGGCAGAAGUGAUAUCAUAAAGUGUGAGGCAGUGUACUUUCUGGCUGUUGGAAUAGUCGCUUCGGAACCCUAAGCUAUCAUCUAAGAUCUCUGACUACCCUGAAGCUGACAUCCUGUGAGGAAGCCCAGGCCGUAUGGAGAGGCCCAUCUGAGGUUCCAGCCAACAGCGAGAAUCAAAUGCCAGACAUGGGAGUGAAGAUGUCUCCAGAAGAUUCUAGCUUCCAGUCACCGAGUCUUCCCAACUGAGGUCCCAGACAUCAUGGAGCAGAGAUAAGCUGCCUUUGCUGUGCCCUUUCCGAAUUCCCUAUCCACAGAAUCUGGGAGUGUAAUAAAAUAAUUGUUUCACCCUAUUAAGUUUGGGGUGGUUUGUUACAAGGCAAUAGUAAUUGGUACAGAUAUGAAACCAGGAGCCCUAUGUGGUCCCCAAGUCCUCCUGAGAUAGAGAUCUGGGAGUGGCUACUUUGUGGAAGAGUUAGAGCUUCUUGGAAUACUAUUUGAAAACCUCUGGACUAACCAAGGGCUCCAAAUUCUGUGUUUCUAAGAAACCUGGAAUUUAAUAGCUUUAUCAAGAAAGAGAAUUGUCUCGUUCAGUGUUAUGAACUGAAUUGUGUCCCCCCAAAAGAUGAAGUCCUAACCCCCAGUACCUGUGAAUGUGAACUUAUUUGGAAAUAAGGUAUUUGCAGACUAUCGACUUAAGAUGGCAGCAUCAGGGUGAGCUCUGAUCCAAUAUUCUGUAUCCUUAUAAAAAGGAGAAGUUUGGACACAGAGACAACACACACAGAGAUAACGCCAUAUGAAGAUGAAGGUAGAGAUUGGGUGCUGCAUCUAUCAGCCAACGAUUACCAAAGAUUGCCAACAAACCAUAGACUAUGGAACAGAUUCUCCCUCACAGCCCUCAGAAGGAACCAACCCUGCUUUCACUUUGAUCUACAACUGUGAGACAAUAAUUUUGUUUGUUUAAGCCACCCAGUAUGUGGUAGUUUGUCACGGCAGCUCUGGGAAAAUAAUACAUUCGAGAACCAGUUUGAACAGGAGUGAUAGCCCUUUAUAGCUCCAAGGUCCUCAGCUAAUGCAAGUUAGGCCUCUUGAUUCAUUCAGCAAUAUCUUUUCAAGGUCCAUCUCAUAGAAGUCACAAUGGGAAGCACUUUAGAAAAAUACAAAGAUAAAUUAAGUCUUGGUUUCCACAAUCAUUGGAACACCAACUCUGGAAGGAGAGAUAUGGUAAGUCCUAAAAUAACCAUAGUACAAGUGAUAAGGGCCCUAGAUAAUGAGGCAUGUAGAAAGUGUUAAGAGAAAUUCUAAAUAAGCCUUAAAAUUCUUUUAAAAAGUCUCAGUGAUCUUAGUAUAAGUAGAGCCAAAAUUAGAUUUGGAUGGACAGAGUUGAAGGUAGAAGGGGCAUUUCUAUGAAUGUCUAACACUCAGUGGGUCCCUGGCUAAUUGAUUAAAGUACAUAGGUAAAGUAUAACUCCUUUAUUGUCAGGUCUAUUUAAAGCAUUUAUAGAGUCCUAGAUACAUUUUUGGAUAAUGAUUGUUUCCUCCCUGUACACAUAAGAAAAAAAUGUGUAUGAGUCUAAACAUUUUAAAACAACCUAGAAUGCAACUUCUGUCUUACAAGCAUUUACUACAAGGUUUUAGAGUCAACUUUCAGGCAUUUUUGAUGCAAGUUCUUUUUUUUUUUUUUUUUUAGUUUUUAUUGGAGUAUAGUUGAUUUACAAUGUUGUGUUAGUUUCAAGUGUACAGCAAAGUGACUCAGUUAUACAUAUAUCCACUCUUUUAUUUAGAUUCUUUUCCCAUAUAGGUCAUUACAGAAUACUGAGUUGAGUUCCCUGUGCUGUACAGUAGGUUCUUAUUAGUUAUCUAUUUUAUAUAUAACAGUGUGUAUAUGUCAAUCCCAAUCUCCCAAUUUAUCCCUUCCUCCAUCUAUCCCCUGAUGCAAGUUCUUGAUCAGAUUUAUAAUUAAAGCUCUCAAUAGUCACUACUAGUGUCUUUUUAAAAAAUUAUUUUUGUUUUAUUAUAUCAGUUUCUGAGUUAGGAAAAGUUAUUUGAAAAUAAUGGUCUAGUUAGUUUUCCAUACUUGAGAUUUGAUUGUUUUCACAUUGUUGGUAGAACUGAAGGGCAACAAAUCAGCCUGAAGUUUAGAAAGUGCACUGAGCAUCCUUUAUCAGGAGGUUCCCCGUUGACUCACACCUCUACUCCCCAUACUACCCCACAAGAAACAAAAGCCUUAUGUAAUAUAAAUCAGGUAUUUAAUCCCUCUGACAUUUUUCAUAUUUCCCAUUUGAAACCAAUUCAGUUUCUUUAAGAGGUUAUCUGGACUUAAACUAUUUAUGUAGCUAAAUGUUUUGACUGAGUAGUUUUGACUGAAGCUGAAUCUCUAGUUUUCAAUUUCACAAGCAGAAACUCAUUUUAAACACUUCCUCACUUCUCGUAAUAACCUAGAAUGGAAAAUAAUCUUAAAUUUAUAUAUAUAUAUAUAAAUUACUUUCCUGUACACAUGAAGCUAACACUACAACGUAAAUCAACUAUACUUCAAUUAAAAAAAAAGCAAAGGGGAAAAAUACUAAAGUUAGGGCAGUCAACAUCCUGUUUUUGUUUCUGGAUGCAUAAAACAACCAAACCUGUUAGCCUGCUGAUACUGUUAAGGCUUAGAAUGUGACUCCCAAGAAAAUAUGCAAGUUGCAUCACCAGAGGCUAGAACCUGGGGAGAAUUAAGAAGAAACCCUGAAUAAAUAAUAAGUCCUGAAUAAAGUCUUCCUUACCAUUCUAACAAGUAUCAGAUUAAUUUUUUCUUUAACACCACUUAGAGGUCAUUAAGGUACAUGGCCUCAGGUUUUUGUUGAGAUUGGCUACAUCAUAAAGUAUUUUUCAUAGAGCAAUUUAAAUCAUUAAGAAAUAUAAUUUAUACAUACAACUCAAUGGGCAUAAAUGGAACACAUCAACUAUUUCAUAAACUUGUGGACAUUUAUUUCUCAAACUUACAAUGAUUGUAGCUUCACAUUUUGCAUUGAUUUUAUCUAUACUUGGACUGAAUCAGCCUGAGAUGUUGAAAGCUGUUCAAAUGUUACUUAGAGUUUUUUUUUUUUUUUUUUUGCGGUAUGCGGGCCUCUCACUGUUGUGGCCUCUCCCGUUGCGGAGCACAGGCUCCGGACGCACAGGCUCAGCGGCCAUGGCUCACGGGCCCAGCCGCUCCGCAGCAUGUGGGAUCUUCCCGGACCGGGGCACGAACCCGUGUCCCCUGCAUCGGCAGGCGGACUCUCAACCACUGCGCCACCAGGGAAGCCCCUAGAGUAUGAUUUUAACAAACUUAUUCCACAUAAUCUAUGUGAAAUUAAAAUGGAAUCCCAAGAACCUUGUAAUUCAGAUUGAAGAAAUGCAGUUUUUUCCUAUACCAAAAUCUCUGCUGAAUAGUUGAUUUUUUUUUCUUAGAAGAACUAUGGAGGAGAUAUAAAAUGCAAAACUUGCAUGUUGCCUCUUUGUGUCACUUUCCCCAAGAUCUGUAUUACAUGAAACUAAUAAGAAUGGAACUAAAUACUUUUUUAAUGGUGCUGUCUAAAUGUAACCUGAGUUGAAAUAAAAUUAAUUCCACAACAAGGACCUACUGUAUAGCACAGAGAAUUAUAUUCAAUAUCUUGUAAUAACCUAUAACAUAAAAGAAUCUGAAAAAGAAUAUAUCUGUAUAUAUUUAUAUCUGUAUAUCUGAAUCACUUUGCUAUAUACCUGAAACUAUCACAUUGUAUAUUAACUAUUCUUCAAUUAAAAAAAUUAAUUCCAUAAGUGUUUAAAAAAAUAAAGUCCAUCUUCUAAUUGUUCCCAAACUUUACAAAAGAAGAAUCCCUGAAUCAAAAUAAUCAGAAUGGUCAUUUCCGUUCAGAUGUUUGGUAGUAAAAUCUUUGUCUAAUGUUGUGUUUUUUAUGCAAAAUCUCCAAACUCUGAAA